UACGAAGGGGGCUAGCGUUGCUCGGAAUUACUGGGCGUAAAGCGCACGUAGGCGGUCUUUUAAGUCGGGGGUGAAAUCCUGGAGCUCAACUCCAGAACUGCCUUCGAUACUGGAAGACUUGAGUCCGGGAGAGGUGAGUGGAACUGCGAGUGUAGAGGUGAAAUUCGUAGAUAUUCGCAAGAACACCAGUGGCGAAGGCGGCUUUCUGGUCUGUAACUGACGCUGAGGCGCGAAAGCGUGGGGAGCAAACAGG
rnacentral:rRNA from 1 species